UAAUACGAGGGGUCUAAGCGUUGUUCGGAAUCACUGGGCGUAAAGCGGGUGUAGGUGGCUAUGCAAGUUGGAUGUGAAAGCCCCGGGCUCAACCCGGGAAGUGCAUCCAAAACUACGUAGCUUGAGUGCGGGAGAGAAAGGCAGAAUUCCUGGUGUAGUGGUGAAAUACGUAGAUAUCAGGAGGAACUCCGGUGGCGAAGGCGGCCUUUUGGCCCAGCACUGACACUCAGACCCGAAAGCGUGGGUAGCAAACAGG
rnacentral:rRNA from 1 species